GGUUAGGGGACCUGAGAGGUUGACCCCCCACAAUGGAACUGAAAMRCGGUCCAUACACCUACGGGUGGCAGCAGUAGGGAAUAUUGCACCAUGGGCGAAAGCCUGAUGCAGCAACGCCGCGUGAGUGAUGAAGGCCCUCGGGUCGUAAAACUCUUUUCAAGAGGAAGAGGAAGGACGGUACUCUUGGAAUAAGCCUCGGCUAAYUACGUGCCAGCAGCCGCGGUGACACGUAGGAGGCGAGCGUUAUUCGGAUUUACUGGGCGUAAAGCGCGUGUAGGCGGCUUAUUAAGUUGGAUGUGAAAGCUCCUGGCUUAACUGGGAGAGGACGUUCAAAACUAGUAAGCUUGAGUACGAGAGAGGAAAAUGGAAUUCCGGGUGUAGUGGUGAAAUGCGUAGAUAUCCGGAGGAACACCAGUGGCGAAGGCGAUUUUCUGGCUCGAGACUGACGCUCAGACGCGAAAGCUAGGGUAGCAAACGGGAUUAGAGACCCCGGUAGUCCUAGCUGUAAACGAUGUAGACUAGGCGUUGGUGGAGUAAAAUCCAUCAGUGCCGGAGCAAACGCGAUAAGUCUACCGCCUGGGGACUACGGCCGCAAGGUUAAAACUCAAAGGAAUUGACGG
rnacentral:rRNA from 1 species